UGAUAAUCUUAAUGAUGUUACAUAAUACUGUAAUAAUUCAAUAUAAGGAUCUCUAAUUAUAGAAUACAGGGAGAUCCGUCUUUACGAGACACCGUGUAUGUACACCGCAAGUUUCGGAAGGGUUAGGACAAACCGCGAUCGAUGGUCGGUCGUCUAUCCACGCGUAUAUCAGUGUGACGCAUUAAUUCCGAAAACAAAAUGAAACAGCCAUGAAUUGAGAUCGAUAACAACAAAGGAACGACCGUUGGCGUGAAGUACGCUCUCUCUCUUGUAGUCGACGGCGUCAGAAAUGCGAACUCGCUGAAAUUAUUACAUCGGCGUCACCAGUCGCGACUCUGAGACGGCAUUCUCGUGACGCAUCACGGACGUCACGGAAACGUUGCCGAUGUUUCGUCGAGGUAUUUCCUCGAGAGCGCGCGAUCGCACGAGGACGCGUUUGUAACCGGCUUGAAAACGCGAUGCGCGGGAGAGACCACGGGAAGCGUACAGAGGAAUAGUAUCGAUGCAAUAUUUACC